GAUGAACGCUGACAGAAUGCUUAACACAUGCAAGUCUACCAAGAAUCACUUCGGUGAGGAAUGGUGGCGGACGGGUGAGUAACGCGUAAAUAAUCUGCCCUUUAGACUGGGAUAUCCUUUGGAAACGAAGGUUAAUACCGGAUAUUAUGAGAUGGACGCAUGUUCAACUUAUGAAAGCUAAAUGCACUAGAGGAGGAGUUUGCGUCCCAUUAGCUAGUUGGUGAGGUAAAGGCUCACCAAGGCCACGAUGGGUAGCCGGCCUGAGAGGGUGAACGGCCACAAGGGAACUGAGACACGGUCCUUACUCGUACGGGAGGGAGCAGUGGGGAAUAUUAGACAAUGGACCAAAAGUCUGAUCCAGCAAUUCUGUGUGCACGAUGAAGGUCUUCGGAUUGUAAAGUGCUUUCAGUAGAGAAGAAAAAAAUGACGGUACCUACAGAAGAAGCGACGGCUAAAUAUGUGCCAGCAGCCGCAGUAA
rnacentral:rRNA from 1 species